rnacentral:rRNA from 1 species
UACGUAGGGUGCGAGCGUUGUCCGGAAUUAUUGGGCGUAAAGAGCUCGUAGGCGGUUUGUUGCGUCUAUCGUGAAAACCUGCAGCUUAACUGUGGGCUUGCGGUGGAUACGGGCAGACUUGAGUUCGGUAGGGGAGACUGGAAUUCCUAGUGUAGCGGUGAAAUGCGCAGAUAUCAGGAGGAACACCGGUGGCGAAGGCGGGUCUCUGGGCCGAUACUGACGCUGAGGAGCGAAAGCGUGGGGAGCGAACAGG